ACUGGUAAAGAAUCAGGAGGAGAGUAUUGCUGUCACGUGUCAAACCGUUUUGGGAAUGAGACUAAUUGUACGUCCCUUGAAGUGAUAGUUUUACCUCGUAUCAACAAUCUAACCUUGCACCUUUCUGGUAAACAAGGAGAAUCAAUAACAUUAAGAUGUAAUGCCUCUGGAGAUCCAGCACCCAAUUAUACAUGGAUACAUAAGGAUAAGAACAGAACAAUAGCUAAUUCCAGUGUGACGUCAUUCAACAUCACUGGUAAAGAAUCAGGAGGAAAGUACUGCUGUCACGUGUCAAACGGUUUUGGGGAGGAGGCUAAUUGUACGUCUGUUAAAGUAACAGAAUAUCAACCAAUAAAUACAAAGCUGACAUCGGAUGU